AAUCUGAUCCGUCGUCUCAUCUCAUCAUCAUCGCUGUGCCAACCCACCGAUUACUCCGCCCCGGCGCGCGCUGACUCCGCCCCCGAGCGCGCGACUCCGCCGCUCCAAUCGCCGUCCCAUCCUCGCUCCUCUUCACAUCCUCCCUCCUCUUCUCAUCUCAGCCGCGCGAAUCCCCGCCGCCUCGAUCACUCGCUCCGUCCGAUUCCCCGCUGCCGCCGUUGGACCAGCCACCUCCUCCUCUCUCUAUGUGCAUCCUCCCUCUCUCAGCAGCACGAGGAAUCCCCGCCGCCUCACCUUCUCCGCCUGAUUCCCCGCCGCCGACACAGUCCACCGCCGGACCAACCGCCCCCUCCUCGCUCCUCCUCGAUCUGUGCGCAUCCUCCCUCCUCUCAGCCGUACGAAUUCCCGCCGCAAUCCACUGCCGGACCACCUCACUCGCUGGUGCGCCUCCUCGCGACUCCCCGCCGCACGCCACCGCAUCAUGCCCCUGCAGGCGUCGUGGUGGUUCCCCCUUCCACCAGAGCCCCAUCCGAGACUGCCGCAUGCAGUCGGCGUCAAUCCAGGGCCUUCCAUCGCCGAGCUCGAUCUGCAGCCCUUGGUCGCUGGCGUUCGAAGCUGGCCUCGGUGUGGAGCACGCCGUUCCGCCUCUGUUCAAAGCCCACCAACUCCUCCAACCGUAAUCCCCAACCAGACUUGCUCCAUCUAUCGCCAACACUCGAUCUGUAUCUGACUUUCUGUUGGCUACUGCCCUGGAAGGACAAGGGGCAUUUGAUGUUGGCAGUAGUUCGUCACCAUCAUCUCCUUUCCCGGCGUGCACUCCUGCAUCCCCAGCCAUGCCAAGCCUGGCGCUGACCUCCGGCAUGGACGACCUCAACUUUGUGUUGGUCAGCGUCCAAUCCCCAUUCAAAAUAUUCAAGUUGGUCAGGAUGGAUAGGGAAUUCAGGAUGGUAGUUGGUAAUCUCCUGCAGUCUUCUUGGUAGAUGUGGUGUUAGGAUUGUGCUCCCACUCACACUCACACUCACAUAGGCAUAUUGCCUAGGUCUACAGUCUACUCCAAACCACAUAGUUCAAUUCCUCCGCGUUUUAGAAUUGCAGAUCAAUGAUGCAUGGCAAGGUCAGAGCGCCAAUGAAGUACUAAAAUGGUAAAAGAAGUCUGCCAUGUUUGUUACAAUUCUGAAUAGAAAACUUUGCCCAUGCCGGUCAUGUGUUUGACAAAAUGCUCCAGACACUUGAUCAAAUGAAUGUAUUUGUAUUUUCUCACUUCCUCAGUAUAGCAACAAAAAUAUUACUGGUUUGCUUUUUCAGUCUGAAUCACUAGGUGUUGUUAGGUUUGGAGAAGUUUGGACUGAAUCAAUGCAAUGGACAAUUCAUAGAAGAUUUCAAGCAGUGGAAAAAGGAGACUUCUACAACUGCCACAGGAUUAAAAUUUGGUCUAAGAUACAGAUCUCGAUGGCAUGGUGGUGCUGAGUGUAUGCCAUAAUUCUGGUGAGAGUUGGAUGUAAUUUGCUUGCCUUCAGGAUAAAUUGGAUGUAUUUUUUGCUGACCAACUGGAUGUAUGCUUUUUUAACCGGUUUUAUUUAUAUAUAACUUUAGUCAGCUUGUGAAAUUAUGUAAAAUUCAGUUCCUGAAGUGCUGGUACUUACUGUUGAUUUAUUUGUGCAUGCGCUUACUGAUAUAAGAUCAUUUGUUAUUCUCUUUA